UGUCUCCUCGGGACGCAGCAGUGAGGAAUAUUGGUCAAUGGGAGAGAUCCUGAACCAGCCAAGCCGCGUGAGGGAAGACGGCCCUAUGGGUUGUAAACCUCUUUUGUCGGAGAACAAAACCCGGGACGUGUCCCGGACUGCGUGUAUCCGAAGAAAAAGCAUCGGCUAACUCCGUGCCAGCAGCCGUGGUAAUACGGAGGAUGCGAGCGUUAUCCGGAUUUACUGGGUGUAAAGGGAGCGUAGGCGGUAAGGCAAGUCUGAUGUGAAAGGCCAGGGCUCAACCCUGGGACUGCAUUGGAAACUGU
rnacentral:rRNA from 1 species